rnacentral:tRNA from 1 species
AUUUAAAUAGUUUAUUUAAAACAUUACAUUUUCAUUGUAAAAUUAUAAAACCCUUUAUUUUAAAUA